AGAGUUUGAUCCUGGCUCAGGACGAACGCUGGCGGCAUGCCUAAUACAUGCAAGUCGUGCGCAGGAAGCAGACUGAAGUCUUCGGACGGACGUUUGUGGAAUGAGCGGCGGAUGGGUGAGUAACACGUGGGCAACCUGCCUGUAAGAUUGGGAUAACUCCGGGAAACCGGUGCUAAUACCGAAUAAAACUAUUGAUCACCUGAUUAAUAGAUAAAAGAUGGCUCUUUGAGCGAUUACUUACAGAUGGGCCCGUGGCGCAUUAGCUAGUUGGUGGGAUAAUGGCCUACCAAGGCAACGAUGCGUAGCCGACCUGAGAGGGUGAUCGGCCACACUGGGACUGAGACACGGCCCAGACUCCUACGGGAGGCAGCAGUAGGGAAUCUUCCGCAAUGGACGCAAGUCUGACGGAGCAAUGCAAUCCCGCGGCCAUGGCGGCCGGGAGCAUGCGACGUCGGGCCCAAUUCGCCCUAUAGUGAGUCGUAUUACAAUUCACUGGCCGUCGUUUUACAACGUCGUGACUGGGAAAACCCUGGCGUUACCCAACUUAAUCGCCUUGCAGCACAUCCCCCUUUCGCCAGCUGGCGUAAUAGCGAAGAGGCCCGCACCGAUCGCCCUUCCCAACAGUUGCGCAGCCUGAAUGGCGAAUGGACGCGCCCUGUAGCGGCGCAUUAAGCGCGGCGGGUGUGGUGGUUACGCGCAGCGUGACCGCUACACUUGCCAGCGCCCUAGCGCCCGCUCCUUUCGCUUUCUUCCCUUCCUUUCUCGCCACGUUCGCCCGGCUUUCCCCGUCAAGCUCUAAAUCGGGGGGCUCCCUUUAGGGUU
rnacentral:rRNA from 1 species